rnacentral:rRNA from 1 species
GACGUAGGGUGCGAGCGUUGUCCGGAUUUAUUGGGCGUAAAGAGCUCGUAGGCGGCUCGUCGCGUCGACCGUGAAAACCCGCAGCUUAACUGCGGGCUUGCGGUUGAUACGGGCGGGCUAGAGUUCGGUAGGGGAGACUGGAAUUCCUGGUGUAGCGGUGAAAUGCGCAGAUAUCAGGAAGAACACCCGUGGCUAAGGCGGCUCUCUGGGACGUGACUGACGCUGAGACGCGAAAGCGUGGGGAGCGAACAGG